rnacentral:rRNA from 1 species
GGGGAAUCUUCCGCAAUGGACGAAAGUCUGACGGAGCAACGCCGCGUGAGUGAUGACGGCCUUCGGGUUGUAAAGCUCUGUUAAUCGGGACGAAAGGCCUUCUUGCGAAUAGUUAGAAGGAUUGACGGUACCGGAAUAGAAAGCCACGGCUAACUACGUGCCAGCAGCCGCGGUAAUACGUAGGUGGCAAGCGUUGUCCGGAAUUAUUGGGCGUAAAGCGCGCGCAGGCGGAUUGGUCAGUCUGUCUUAAAAGUUCGGGGCUUAACCCCGUGAUGGGAUGGAAACUGCCAAUCUAGAGUAUCGGAGAGGAAAGUGGAAUUCCUAGUGUAGCGGUGAAAUGCGUAGAUAUUAGGAAGAACACCUGUGGCGAAGGCGACUUUCUGGACGAAAACUGACGCUGAGGCGCGAAAGCCAGGGGAGCGAACGGGAUUAGAUACCCCGGUAGUCCUGGCCGUAAACGAUGGGUACUAGGUGUAGGAGGUAUCGACCCCUUCUGUGCCGGAGUUAACGCAAUAAGUACCCCGCCUGGGGAGUACGACCGCAAGGUUG